rnacentral:rRNA from 1 species
AUCGGGAUAACACCUGGAAACAGAUGCUAAUACCGGGAUAACAACAGAUGAUGCCUAUCAACUGUUUAAAAGAUGGUUCUGCUAUCACUCUUGGAUGGACCUGCGGUGCAUUAGCUAGUUGGUAGGGUAACGGCCUACCAAGGCGAUGAUGCAUAGCCGAGUUGAGAGACUGAUCGGCCACAUUGGGACUGAGACACGGCCCAAACUCCUACGGGAGGCAGCAGAC